rnacentral:rRNA from 1 species
CCAAGGAGUUUAGCGUGUGCGCGAGUCAUUGGGUGUCAAAACCUAAAGGCGUAAUGAAAGUGAAGGAAACUUUGCUUCCGAGGGAGGAUGGGAUCAGGUUCGAAAUCGUGCCUUCCCCGCACUCCCGGGGCGUCUCUAUCUCAUUGCGAGAGGAGGCGCACCCAGAGCGCACACGCUGAUACCCGAAAGAUGGUGAACUAUGCCUGGCCAGGACGAAGCCAGGGGAAACCCUGGUGGAGGUCCGCAGCGAUUCUGACGUGCAAAUCGAUCGUCGGAGCUGGGUUUAGGGGCGAAAGACCAAUCGAACCAUCUAGUAGCUGGUUCCCUCUGAAGUUUCCCUCAGGAUAGCUUGCGCUCGAAUGAAACGAGUCUCAUCCGGUAGAGCGAAUGAUUAGAGGCCUUGGGGUCGAAACGACCUCAACCUAUUCUCAAACUCCAAAUAGAUGAGAACCCCGGCUUUCUUGAACAUCAGUUUUCUGAAGCCGGGGGCUUGGAUCAGAGUGCCAAGUGGGCCAAUUUU